rnacentral:rRNA from 1 species
UACGUAGGGCGCAAGCGUUGUCCGGAAUUAUUGGGCGUAAAGAGCUCGUAGGCGGUUUGUCGCGUCGAAUGUGAAAUCCCGGGGCUCAACCCCGGGCCUGCAGUGGAUACGGGCUGGCUAGAGGCAGGCAGGGGAGAACGGAAUUCCUGGUGUAGCGGUGAAAUGCGCAGAUAUCAGGAGGAACACCGGUGGCGAAGGCGGUUCUCUGGGCCUGUACUGACGCUGAGGAGCGAAAGCGUGGGGAGCGAACAGG